GCAGACACAUUCCAGCCAAUCAGCAGCAGACCCUCCCUCCCAGACCCUCCCACCUCCUGGACAGCAUCCAUUUUGAAGCUGCAUUCUCAGUGAGCUGUCCAGGAGGUGGGAGGGUCUGGGAGGGAGGGUCUGCUGCUGAUUGGCUGGAAUGUGUCUG